AUUUCCAUCAAGUGUAAGGUGUUUCAAGCCAUGCAUGUUUUCUGCAAUGGCAACAGCCUCCUCAUCAGAUGAUCCAAUGUUUUUACUUGGCUUGGAAU